GAGUUGAGAGGCAAGGAGAGACUCAGCCUGAAACAGAGGGGAGGGGCAGUGAGGUGCCGGGAGGAGGGGGUCUUAGGAGAGACGGGAAAGAUCUUGAGAGGGAAGGAGCUGAUUAGGGGGCGGGUGCGUGGAGAGGGAAGUCAGAGGCACUCCUGACUUGGGGACUCCGAGGCGGCCUUGGGAGUGGAAAACUUGCUUUAGCCUCAAGGGUGGAGAUAGAGGACAGAGAGAGAGGUCGGAGGAGUGGGGGUGUUAAGAUUUUGCGAUUACUAGCUGGGGGUCUUAGGGUAGGACUGAAGGGCUGAGAGGUCGUUUGAGUUGGAGGGGCGUGAAUUUUUGCAGGGGAAGCCCGGGCUUCCACUGUGAGAGAGGACUCUGUCUAAGCCUGGGAUGGGGGCUGGGGACACAGACCGGAAAAGAAUACUAAUCCACUAGUAGUAUAGCUUUGAGUUAUCUUAAAGUAGGAACUGUUUUAUUUAUCCUUACAUUCUAAGACUUGUAUCUAAUGUGGGCUCAGUAAAGUUUUGGUCAACGAAUGAAGGAACAGGUGGAUAAAUGAAUGUCUGCCCGAAUUCAUGCAUUUAUUCACUUAAUGAACAUUAAGUAUGACCUUUGCUCCGGGUCCUGGGCCAGGUGCUAGGGAGACAAGGGGUGCCUCCGUUGAAGAGCCCACAGUCUAGUGGUGGGAGACAGACAAGAAGACUAGGUAUUACAUUAGAGGCGUAAUGGUGACAUUGAGAAGAGUUCAACAGUUCACCUUGGGAUAGGGAAAGUUUCCCGUAGUUGCUGAGUCUUAAACGAUAAAUAAGUGUCUCUCUCUUCUAGACUUAAGAGUUCCUUCAAGGUGAGCUCCUUGAGAUUGUAUGUCCCCUUUACCUGUCUAGUAGGGUGAGAAAGGAAAAUGAAAAGAUUGUGAAGCUAUAGAAUUGAUAGCUAGAGGCGUUUGUGAUCUUGUACAUGCCAGCAUAUGGACAGAGACGGCAAAAGGAAUAGGAGGAAGGGAAUUGGUUGUCGGAGAUAGAACCAGUGAGAUCUCUGAUGGGUCAGAGUCUGAGAGGUCCCUUGCUGUGUGUUGGGUGGAGGAAGAGUGGGGAGGAUUGGGGAUGACUGAAGAUGAGGCUCAGAGAAAGGGAGAAGUGGACUUAGGAAGCAAGAAGACUGUUGCUUGGUAGUGGGAUGAGCUGGAGGAGUUGGAUUACCUGAUUGGGAUCAUUAAGGUAGGAGGAAGAGACUGAGAAAUCGACAGGUGAUCACAGCUGGGGGAUUUUUAAAGAAACUUUGUAGUCCUCUGCCUCCCAAUCACUAGAGACUACAGGUGUUAGUUGGUUAGGUGGGGUGGUUCUGGAAAUGACCUCCAAAAUCCCUCCUAGCUUUUAUGUUUCUGUGAUUACAGUUGGCUGUGGUUCAUUGAGAUAUAUUUGAAGGCACUUUGGAAAGGGUAAAUACUGUAUUGAAGUUCUUAUUUAUGGUUUGUUAGUCAUGGGCUCUCCCUUGAGACAUUUAUGUAUAUCUCAAAGAAAGCUUUAGUUACAUAUGUCAAGGUUCAUCAAGAUAACAGAAGUUUUGGCAGAGGAGAAAAUAACAUUUUCUUUUCUUUUGAGAUGGAGUUUUGCUCUUGUUGCCCAGGCUGUGGUGCAAUGGUAUGAUCUCGGUUCACCGUAACCGCUGCCUCCCAGGUUCAAGCAAUUCUCCUGCCUCAGCCUCCCAAGUAGCUGGGAUUACAAGCAUGCGCCACCACACCUGGCUAAUUUUUUGUAUUUUUAGUGGAGACGGGGGUGUGGGGGUGGGGUUUCUCCAUGUUGGUCAGGCUGGCCUCGAACUCCCGACCUCAGGUGAUCUUCCUGCCUUGGCCUCUAAAAGUGCUGGGAUUACAGGCAUGAGCCAUCACACCUGGCCAAGAAAAUAACAUUUUAAUUGAGACAUUUUAAAAUUUUGUUUCUAAGCUUUUCUUUAUUGUUUUAAAGACUUAAGAGCUUCUAGUAGUAUAAUAGAUUUUACAGAGUAUCAUGCCUAGAAGUUAACUUUUUAUGAAACCACUAGCAUUCAUCCAAGAAACCUUGUUACUUGUUUCAUUUUCUGAGAAAAAGUAUGAUUUGUUUUCUGGAAAUGCUGCAUGGACUGGGUCUGUCUUUUUUGUUGUUGUAUGUUUGAGAAAGUAAGCUAUGAGAAGCAGGAACAGUUAUCCCUUCAAGCUGUAAAAAUAACAGAGGUCUGAUCGGGCCUUAGUUUAUAUUCAAGUUUCUACUAAUGUCUCUCCAGCUGUUUCUUUGCAGCCUUAGCUUGUGAAAGAGAAGGUGAAAUUCAUCAUUUAGCAUGUAAUUAUAGGGUCUACCCUCUGUCAUGCACUGAGAAUUCAAAGAUAAAUAAAACAGGAUCUUCACCAAUUUACAGUUGAGUGAAGAGACAUGCAAAUAGCAUAUUAUAAUACUAGAUAAUUGCUGUAAUGGAGGCAUGUAACAAAUGCAGUGGGGCACAGGAGAUCAAGCGCUUGAGUCUGCUAGGGGGAGUAGGUAAAGUCUUUAUGAUAGAGAUGGGUUUGAGCUGAAAAAGGUUGGGUUUACAAAAGAGCAGUGGUUUACAUGUGGCAUCAGUGUUACCCUCUCUGUAGCACUUUGUGUUUGGUUGAUAGACUCUAUCGUAGAGCGCAGAUUAUAAUAGGGUAAUAGGUAGCCUAAGAUGGAGUUUCUACUUCUUGGGAUUAUAGGAUAUUAUACCUAUGUUUUCCAAUAUUAGAUGCUAUUAGCAUGAUACGUAGUUUGGAAUAGCAUUCAUUCAUAUUCCUUUUCUCUUUUUUUGUCUGGUUUCAUUAAUGCUUUCUCUAGAAGUUGACAGGUAAUUUAGGCUUUGUUAAUGGCCUCUUCCUUUAGUGGGAUAAAUAGAAAAGAGGACUUGGGAAAAGAGCUACCAGUAGAAAAGGCUACUGUAUUCAGCCCUUACCAUACAGCAACCUUUGUUUAAAACCCUUUACCUGCAUCAUCUUAUUUAUUACUAACAGUAGGCUUGUGAAUUAGAUGGAGUUAACCCCAUUUGAUAAAUGAGACUGAGGCUCAGAGAGGCUAAGGAACUUUCCUAGGAUUCCACAGUUUGUGAGUGGGGAAGUACAGCUUCUGAUCCAGGCCUGCCUAAGCUAUACUGAGCUUGGCCCAUGCUAUCUGAGCUCCUGGGUUCCAUUUCUUACUCCACUAUUUGUGCUCUAGAGGUAGGUAAUUUAAAAUUGUAUAGUCUUAAUUGUAUGUAAACAUUGAUACUAUGUAUUUGAUAAAUGGCUGUGAUUCAAAAGAGCAUUUUGAACCUCACCUUUGUGAGGAAGGUUUUAUUAGUAUUCCCUAUUUGCGAUUGAGGAAGCUGAGGUUCAGAGAAUUUGAGAUAUGCCAAGGGUUUUGAGACUACCAAGUGGUGUCACAAAGAUUUAAACCCACGUUUCCAGAUUCCAGAGUAUUUGUUUUUCUUCUAUUCUAAAGACCCAAACCCUUUUCUUUGUGUACAAAAGUUCCAUUUUCUUUUUUCUUUUCUUUUUUUUUUUUUUUUUGUUUUUGAGACGGAGUUUCGCCCUUCUUGCCCAGGCUGGAGUGCAAUGGCACGGUCUUGGCUCACUACAACUUCUGCCUCCUGGUUCAAGCAAUUCUCCCGUCUCAGCCUCCCAAGUAGCUGGGAUUACAGGUGCCCAUCACCAUGCCCAGCUAAUUUUUGUGUUUUUGGUAGAGACAGGGUUUUACUAUGUUGGCCAGGCUGGUCUUAAACUCCUGACCUCAGGUGAUCCUCCUGUCUCAGCCUCACAAAGUGCUGGGAUUAUAGGCAUGAGCCACCGCGCUCAGCCAAAAGUUCCAUUUUCAAAACAUAAAGCAGCAUUUCAUCCCUGAGAGGAUCAAAAUGAGGGUUAAUCAAAAGAAUAUUAGUUUUUCCAUAUAGGUUCUUUAACUUGCUGAUAACUGGAUUCUGUUGAACCCCUGUUCAGGAGGAAUGAUUAGCCCAUUGGUAGUUAAGGAGAAGAGAGACAGAGAUGGGCCUAGCCAACUCAGGUCAGGUAUUAAACUGGCUAUAAUGACUGCCUAAGCUCAGUUCUGUCUCUCACCCUGCCAAAGUACAGCAUGCUGGAGAUGUUGUAGGAUAAGAUGUGGGUACCAGUUAGGUGCCCCAGAAGCCAAUCUAUUCCUGGAGCCAGUGAUUUCCCCCCUCAAAGGGGAGGCCAGCCAACCUCUGAGAGGAAUUAGAUACAUCUUUUUGGCACAGAAAGCUAGUGUGGGAAUUAAGGUAGAAAAGCACUUCAGUACCCAAUAGGGCCAGCCAGGGCAUUGCCUAGCUAGUGCCUGUGAAUCUGCCAAAAUGAUGUGAGAUCAUGCAGAUCAGUGAAGAAUUUCCAGCUCAAGCUGAAGUUCAAAGCAGGUGUUCUAGCCUGCAGCUAACUCGAAGGAUUAAUAUGAUUGUCUCAAGUAAAUAAUUUACCUCUCUUUGGCCCUGUUUUAUUCCUGUUGAAAGAGGAGAAUUUCACUAGAUUGGUGGUUUUUAAACCUUUAUUUAGUCAUGAAAUCUUUUAUUCAAACAAAAUGUCACUCUGAAGCCUUGUGGUUCUUGAAUGGAUUCAACAGAACCCCUAAGGUGCUUGAAGCCACCCUUUGAAAAGCAAGGAUUUUUCUGGUACAGUCCACUGAUUGGGUGACCCCAUUUUAUGUCCCCUCAGUCCACCUGUGCUUUGCCUAGGCCAGCCCCACCAAGCAUUAUUAUAAAAUUGCCUUUCCCACUAGACUGUAAGCUUCAUGAGAGAGUAGAGACCAAGUGUAUCUUGCUCACCAUUGUAUUCUCUUCACUCAGCAUGUUCCUGGCAUACUGUAGGCACCCAAUAAGUAUUUGAUAAUCUUUUUUUUUUUUUUUUUUAAAGAUGGGGUUUCACCAUGUUGGUCAGGCUGGUCUUGAACUCCCGACCUCAGGUGAUCUGCCCGCCUUGGCCUGCAAAGUGCUUGGAUUACAGGUGUGAGCCACCAUGCCUGGUCCAUUAUUUUUGAUUAAUAGAAUAAUAGCUACCAUUUAGUGGAUGUUUGUGAUUUGCCAGCUCCUCUGCCUAAUGGUAUAUGCUUUUUAAUUAAACAUUUACAAUAUUCCCAUGAGAAUUGAAUUAUUGGAUGAAAUCGUCUCUAACUCUUCCUGGCUCCAGCCCUCUCUGUACUGUUUCUCAUUACUGCCAGGUGUUGUUGGUGCUGUCCUGUCUGCCUAGAAUACCUUUCUUUUCCCUUACUGCCUUUUGAAAUUCUACCUGCCCUUUAAAGGCAGACAGAUUCUGAUCUGCACUGAUAACUUUCUCCCCUGCCUUUUAUGGUUUUCUCUGUUUAAGUUUGUUUCCUCAUUCCCAACUGAGUCCUCAAACUUCUGAAACACCUUCUGUGUGCCAGGCACUUUGGUGUGCCUCAUAAUACCAAGAUAGAUAAAGUGUGAUAAUUGCCCUCAAAAAGUUCACAGACUGGUAUGAGUAGAGUGAUAAAUACAUGCAAAAUGUGUCACAGGUGCUGUGAUAGUGGAAUGGGUACAGUGGGUACAUCAAGGAGGUAGUGGCAGUCAGUAUUACAUCUCCUCUUCCCAGCUAGGUUGGUAAACCCACAGUGGGCAGACUGUGGAAGUUCCCAUCCCUUGCUUCUUCAAGCAGUAAUCACUAUUUUUUUGUGUGUUUGUUCUUUCUCCCAUGGUUCUCUCCCUAUAGACAUUUAGUAAAUGUUCCUUGUUGCCAGGAAUUUUUUUCUCUAGAGAUUUUUGGUCCAAGCCAAGAUCUUACUGAGGGAUCAAGGCAUAUGUGACUGAAGUUUAAUCUUGGAUAUCUGACUACCUCUGGAUUUUUUUAGGCAUGUAAAAUGAGUGGUGGCAUAGUGUAGUGGGGAAAAAACCCAUAGAGUAGUGAACAGUGGGCUCAUAUUCUAGACUAGGAAUAGCAGAUUUGUUUUAUCUCAGAGACAGCCACCUGAUCAUAGAUGCUUAGAAGCCUGUGUUGAGUAGGAUCCUGAGGCCAGGGCUUAGGAGAAAAGAGUGCUGAGGGUGAAAUAAUAUAGAUUACUUAUUCUGCACUGAGUCCUGUGCCAUGUAUUUUAGAUGCAUUCCUUUUUUUUUUUUUUUUUUUUGAGACAGUCUUGCUCUGUCACUGGACUACAGUGGAGCGAUCUUUGCUUAGUGCAACCUCAGUCUCCUAGGCUCAAACGAUUCUCCCACCUCAGCCUGCCAAGUAGCUGGGACCACAGGUGUGCACCACCAUGUGUGGCUAAUUUUUUGUAGAGACAGUUUCACCAUGUUGCUCAGGCUGGUCUUGAACUCCUGGACUCAAGCGAUCCGCCUGCCUUGGCCUCCCAAAGUGUUUGGAUUACAGGCAUGAGCCACCGCGCUGGGACCUUAGAUUCAUUGUUGAAUUUAAUGCCAUGGCCUUAUAAGAUAUGUACUAUUAUUAUCCCGUUCUAUAGAUGUGGAAACUGAGGCAUGGAGAAUUUAAGUAACUUGCCCAAUGUUAUACAGCCAGGUAAGUGACAGAACUGGGGUUCAAAUCCAAGACUACAUCAAUGCUUGUGCUGUUAACCACAAGGGGCAGUAUGAGUACUCUCUACUGCCCAUCCUGUUCUACAUUAGACAUUUCCAUUGUGUACAUUUGGGUCUUCCUUUCUGGAGGUGAUUUAACUGGAGUCAUGAUAUUUGUCUUUCUCACCACAUUGUGUUCUCCUUGAAAAGAAGGCCUAUUCAUUCUUAUAUUCCCUUUGCCUGGCAUAGAGUACGACUCAAUAAAUGUAUAAAUAUGUGAACUCAGGAACGAUUCCAGUUUUUCUGUACCUCAGUUUUUCAUCUGUGAAUUGAUAGUUUUGGACUAGGUGACCUUUGAGAUCUCUUGCAGCUUUGAAAGACUUGGAUCUCAGAGUUUUAUUUUGGCCAUGUUUCUUAUAACUCUCAUCAGGUACUCAGUAAAUACUAGUGAAAGACUGAUUGAAUGAAGGUAUAAUUAUUCUUUUUUUUUUUUCUGAGAAGGAGUCUUGCUUUGUCGCCCAGUCUGGAGUACAGUGGUGUGAUCUCGGCUCACUGCAACUUCCGUCUCCUGAGUUCAAGCGAUUCUCCUGCCUCAACCUCCCAAGUAGCUGGGACUACAGGUGCAUGCCACCAUGCCCGGCUAAUUUUUUGUAUUUUUAGUUUCACGAUGGUCUCAAUCUCCUGACCUCAUGAUCUACCCUCCUCGGCCUUCCAAAGUGCUGGGAUCACAGGUGUGAGCUACCGUGCCGGGUCUAUAAUUAUUCUUUUUUUUUUUGAGACAGAGUUUCUCUUUUGUUACCCAGGCUGGAGUGCAAUGGCGCGAUCUCGGCUCACUGCAACCUCCGCCUCCUGGGUUCAGGCAAUUCUCCUGCCUCAGCCUCCUCACUAGCUGGGAUUAUAGGCACGUGCCACCGUGCCCAGCUAAUUUUUUGUAUUUUUAGUAGAGACGGGGUUUUACCAUGUUGACCAGGAUGGUCUCGAUCUCUUGACCUCGUGAUCCACCUGCCUCGGCCUCCCAAAGUUCUGGGAUUACAGGCGUGAGCCACCGUGCCCGGCUAAUUAUUCUUAAUAAUCUAUGCUAAUAAUUAAUAUUGGGAUGACAGAAGAAAAAAUGGUGAUGGGGAAGGAGUAGACAAAAAGGCUUACAUAUAACCCCCAAUUUCACCACUUUUGACUUUGGAAUGCAGUCAGCACCUCAUGCUCUGACAGAUACCCUGGCAGAUUCCCAUUUGAAUUCCAAUUCCAAUACCUGUCACCCCCAGCUCACCCUUGCUUUUUUUUGCAGGUCACUUCUUUGUUAUGAUUUAAUAACUCAUCUACUUCCAGAAGGAAUUUAAGAUAUCAAUUAGUCAAUAAAGGGGUUAGGAGAGAGGGGCAGGAAAGGUGAAGAUGAAGAGGAAUGUUUUCAUUCUUUGAGUGCAAGGACUAUCUUUCCAUCUUUGUACAUUCCUCAGUGCCUUGAUCAGUGCUUGGCACAUAGCCCAUAUCAAUAUAUUUAUUGAAUGAAUGAGAAUGCUUGUAGGUGUUGAUUCUGUUAAGGAUAAAGGUAAUGUUGACUAAAUUGCAAAGGUUGACUAGCAUGUGUACUAUCUGUUCUGGAAAUAACAUAAUAUCCCCUACCAGUAUUUGUUUAUAAGCUGCUUAUGAAAUAUUUUUAUUGGAUUCAUUUAAAUUAAUGCCACAUUGCUCCUUACCAGUGAGUCAUCGGCACUGCUUUCUGCUCCCAUAGCGCCCUGUGCAGAUUUCCGUUAGCACUUACCAUGUCGUAUUGUCUCUUCCAUUAGUCGGGGAACUCCUUGAGGGGAGUGCACAUUAUCAUUUUUUUCAUCUCUGUAUUUUCAGCACCUAAUCUUGCACAGUGACUAGCAUGGAGUAGUUAUUCAGAUAUUUACUGAACUUGAAUUUUGUUUUUCUUGUUUUGAGACGGAGUCUCUCUGUGUUCACUCAGGCUGGAGUAAAGUGGUGUGAUCUUGGCUCACUGCAACCUCCGCCUCCUGUGUUCAAGCGAUUUUCCUUCCUCAGCCUCUGGAGUAGCUGGGAUUACAGACGCCGCCACCACCCCCAGCUAAUUUUUGUAUUUGAACUUGUAUCUUAAAUCUGGUCCAUACACCCGUGUUGAACAUCCCCCCAAAAUGGUCAGCAGUGUGUAUGUGAACCCCUCCAAUGAUAGCCAGCUAAUUGUUCAUUGGUCAGCCUAUUCUUUUGAAUGCCUCUGUUGCGGUGUCCUUCAGAUUGGAUUAGAUUCUUAUUUCUGUAUUGCUUCAACUUUUUAGUCCUCGUUGUACCGUUUCCCAGAUUCUGCUUUUUUUGCACCUCUGACUUGCCAUGGCACUAACACUGCCAGAGAAUGCCUCUGGGGGAUGUAGGCCCAGUAUACCUGGCUUUGUUUGGUCUGAAAGCUUACUCCAUGGAAGCCAACCCAGCAUAAUCCAUUUAGUGCCAUUUCUCAUCUCCAUGUUAUUUCUUUUUGUUUUCCCUUCUUGAAGUCAUUUGUUACCUCUACUCCUCAGAGAAAAAUCUGUAGGUAAACACAAGCUCAUUAGUUCCCUCUAAAGUGCGGCUCUCCCAAGAGGCUGCUGGAUCAUGGCCAUGGGGCUUUUGGCCUCGGCAGCUAGAGAGAAACUGGGAAAAGGGGAAACAGAGAACACAAGCCCUGCCAAAGUUUUUGGUUCAUUUUGUCCUCCUUUCACAGGGUGUUAUCAAUAACUCAAUGCAUUCUGUUGCUUAGAAACCUCAUGUAAUGUUUUACUCCCUGUUGCCCAUAGGAUUGAGCCUAAUUGUCUCUGAGCUUGUCAUUUAGUGCCCUGCAGAAAGCCUUUUCUCCUGUUUUAACUACAACAAUAAUAGCUUUUUUAGUGCAUACCAUGUGCCAGGCAGUAAACUAAGCAUUUUACAUGUAUAACCUCUUAAUUCUUUUAAGAAACCUUGUAUUUGAGUUGAUUUUAUCCUGAUUUUAUUCUCCUACCAUAAAUUUUUGUUUCAUCAGUUUCUUCUGUGCAACCACCUCUUCUGGUUAAGGAACAUUUUUUCCUUUUUUGGUAAGGAUCAUCUCUGUGUGUCAGGGGCACUCAUGUCUAGGUUAAUUUGGUCUUGAGCUCUGUAAGUAUGGCAGUGUGCAUCUUGGGUGCUUCAUGCACCUGGAUGUGUUCGAUGACUAGAUAAUCUAUUAAUACACCUAAACUCUUUUUUGUUUUGUUUUGUUUUUCUUUGAGACGGAGUCUUGCUCUGUUGCCCAGGCUGGAGUGCAAUGGUGCGAUCUCGGUUCACUGCAACCUCUGCCUCCUGAGUUCAAGUGAUUUUCCCACCUCAGCCUCCCCAGUAGCUGGGAUUAUAGGCACCCGACAUCAUGCCUGGCUAAUUUUUGUAUUUUUAGAGACAGAGGUUCACCAUGUUGGCCAGGCUGGUCUCAAACUCCUGACCUCAGGUGAUCUGCCCACCUUGGUCUCCCAAAGUGCUGGGAUUACAGGUGUGAGUCACCAUGCCUGGCUCAUCUAAACUCUGAAGUUCAGCAUUAUUCUGCAUUUUAAAGCUUGUACAGCAAAAAUUCACUCUUUUUGGGCCACCAAUCCUGUGCCCAGCCUCACUGUUUGGCUUAGGCACAUUUACUGACUCCACAGUUGUAACAAUGAAUUGGCUUACAUUGCUUCUAUAAAGUGACAUCCUUCAGAUACUUUGUGGCUUUCUGGAUUUGCAUACCCCCCAACCUCCCUCCACCCCCAUUGGCCUGGGCAGUUUCUUGAGUCUUCUUAAAGUGAAUAUGAAGAUUUUAAUAUCUUGAUUUGCAUGAUUUUGUGGGGUGUGCUGGGUUAAGUUAAUAGCCAUUUUCACAGAUCGUCUUAGGUUGCUUACUGGAAGAGGAAGAGCUAAUUCUAUUUUAAUGCUGUUAUGAUCUUCAUUUUCCAGAUGAGAAAAACUGAGACACAGAGAAGUAAUUUAUUCAGGGUCACACAGCUUGUAAGUGGAGGUGGGAUUUGAACAUGGUAAUGCAACUCUAUGUCUUCAUGUUACAGUGUACACUAUUGCUGGUUUACAAUAUAACAUGGAUUCACUAUUUUCUUAUUUUUUUUUCUUUUUCUGUUCCUAACCAUCCUGAAAGAUUCACUGUUUUCAUAAGUCACUAUGUAUUUAUUGUGCACUUAAUUAUGCCAGGUACUCUUUUUAGUCUUGGGAAUUAAUAAAUGGAUAAAGAGACUAUCUCUGCUCUAAGGAGGUUUUGGUCUAGUUGGGAGAGGAACCCAUCAGGUGAUAAUGAAAAUAUAAUAUAAUGAGUGGAGUUAUAAAUUAUGUGCAAGAUGCCAUAGGUCUACAGAAGAAUGAGUGCUUAAGCCUAUUCAGGUGCAUUAGAGAAGAAUUCAGAGAGGAUAUGGCAUUUAGGCUGAUUCUUAAAAGUUUACCAUAUUGAUAGGAGACCAGUUUAGGCCAAGGUAAAAGCAUAUGUAUGAAGGAAUAAAGACAUGAAAUCUCUAAUCCUUACGCAUAUGAUUCUAAUGACAUAGUUACUGAUAACUGCAUGCUUUGUGCAAGUCACUAUGUUAGGGAUUUGGGUCAAGAGAAAACCAUGUUUCUUGCAUUCAGGGAAUUUACAGUAUAGUUAGGAAAAUAAGAUGUAGUCCAGUUGGAGAGAUAGUGGCUAUAAUUCUAAAAUAAGACGUACUAAAUGUUUUUUACCAGUAGAAAAAGCAAAGUACUGUAGGGGAAGAAAGUCCCCCUCAUUAGUAUGGCUAGGGAAGAUUUCAUGGGAAGGGAGCCAUUUGAGUUGGGCCUUCAUGGAUGAUUUGAAUUUCAUUAGAGCAUCAGGAAUGAACGCCCCAAGUAAAUGUUGAGAAAUGAGUAUGUAUUUGUGAUUAGCAAGUAAGAGAAGAGUAAGAACUAAAUUAAAAAGGGUAGGUUGGGGCCAACCUCAGGUUGGUUUUUGAAGGCCAGCCUGAGGAGUUUGGAUGCAUUUAUUCUUUCCUUCAGUCACCAAUUAUUGAGUGCUGAUACAUGCCAGAUACUGUGCUGGGGACACAAAGAUGAAGAUGUGGCUCCUGCUCUCAGGAGAUUAAUAGUCUCGUGAGAUAAACCAGAAAUGGGAACAGGUGGUUGUAGUAUAGUGUCAGCAUGUGUUAAGUACUGUGAUGACACAAAGAGGGAGUGAUUAACUGCUUUGGGAAUCCUUAAAGACUUAACAGAGAAGAUGCUUGAGUUUGUUCUUGAGGAUUAAGGUUGAGUUCAGUAGAUAGUCAGAGUCAGUAAGGUAAAGAAGAGUGAGUGGUCCAGCAAAAUGAAAAGAUACGCAAGGCUUGGAGGCAUUGAACAACGUGGAAUCUUAUGGGAACUGUAUGAAGUUCUGUAUGACUGGAGUUUUGGUAAAAUGUAAAGGGAUAGCAGUGAGUGACAAGGCUGAAGAAGCCCCUUUAACACUGUGCUAAAAAGCUUAGCACAGUGUUAGGGAGCCACUGAAGAGUCUUGAGCAGAGGAGUAGCAUGUUUAGAUCUAUGUCUCAGAAUGAUCAAGUCUAGUUGAAGUUUGGAAGUUACUUUUGGAGGGAUCAGGUUGGGAAAAGGAGAACAGUUAGGAGGUAUUAAAGUAGUUUAGGAGUGAGAUGAUGAGGACCUGAGCUUGAGCAAAGACAAUAAGGUUGGAGAAAAGUGAGCAGUUAUAAAAAUGUUAAGUAGCAGUGCUUUCCCUUAUUGUGUUUUGCCCUUUCUAUUUCUCUCCCUAAUUAAUUCAUUCACAUAUUCAGUAAAAUUUAUUAAGUUUGUAGUCUGUAUUAUUUAUUCGUUAUUUUCUUUUUCAAAUACUUGUGACUUCAAUGUUAAACAUUUUUCUAGGUUCCAGUAAUUCAGCAGUGAACAAGACAACCGAGGUCCUUGCUUAUACUAAGUUUAGUUUCUAAUGUGGUAAAGCAAAUAAUGAAUACAUAACAAAUAAACAGGAUAACUCCAGAUGGUGACAAGUGCUUUGAGAAAAGUAAUGUAAUGUGAUAAAGAUGACUAGAAGAGAAGGACUACUUUAAAUAGGGUGGUUAUGGAAAGCCUCUGAAGAGUUGCUAUUUGAACCAAGACCUGAAUGGUAACGACCUAGCACUUUUGAGAUUUGGAAGCAGGUAUGUUUCAAGUGGAGGCAGAAGCAAGUACAAAUGAAUGGGAAUGUGCAAGGCAUGUCCUGGGACCAGAAAGAAAGCCAGUGCGACAGAUCAUAGUUAGCAAAUAAAAAUAGUGCCGAAUGAGGUCAAGGAGUCUGUCAAGGUCAGAUUUAUAAGGACCUGUAGCUGCUGGUACAUGUUGAAUUUUAUUGAGAGUAUAAUGAGAAUGGGAGUGAUAUGAGCUGAUGUACAUUUUUAAAAAGAUUUUUCUGGCUGCUUUGAGAAGAAUAGAUUGUAGGAGGUGACUCAAUGAGAGGGUUAGGAUGCUAUUUUAAUAGUCCAGAUGGGAGAUGAUAGUGUUUUGGAAUGGGGGGGGGGAGUGGUUUAGUCCUUUUGGGCUGCCAUAGUAAAAUACCUUAGACUGGGUAAUUUAUAAACAACAGAAAUUUGGCCGGGUACAGUGGUUCAUGCCUGUAAUCCCAGCACUUUGGGAGGCCGAGGUGGGUGGAUUACUUGAAACCAGGAGUUUGAGACCAGCCUGGCCAACACGGUGAAACCCUGUUUCUACUGAAAAUACAAAAAAUUGGCUGGUCAUGGUGGCAGGCGCCAGUGUUACAUGGUGCCAUUAGGUACCAUGUUAAUUAGGCAGUUGGAAAUGCAGUUUAUAGCUCAGGGGAGAGGUUUGACAUUGUUCUGGGACUUUGAAGAUCGGUCUUUUUAUCCUAGCUCUGCCAUGCAGCUGUUACAUGUGACAAAUCAGUAAGGCAAUGCUGUCAGCUUUAAAAUAAUAAUAAAGUCAUUUGUUAUGCUAGCCUCAUGUGUAUGUUGGGAGAAUCCUUUUCAUUUGUUUAUUGAUUGAUCACACACUGAAUUUACCAAGUUACUACAUUAGAUAUGAAGGAUAACAAAGACAUAGGCCUUGCUCUCAGGCCGCUCAUAGUGCAGUAGAAAAGUUAGGAAAGUGAACAGAUGUAAUAAUUGCUGUAAUAUGAAGAAGGAGAGAUUUCAGGGAGCCCAAAAAAUGGCAGGCAGGGAUCAGAAAAGGUUUCCUAGAAGUGAUACCAUAGCUGAGUGAGAAAGUGACUAGAAAUUAACCAGCUCAAGAAAGAAUAGAAGAACCCUCUAGGCAGGAGGAGCAGCAUGUGCAAGAUGGGAGGUGAGAAAGGAAAUGGCACCUUCAGGGAACUGUAUGCAGUUUAGUAUUACUGGAGCAUCAGAGUAGAAGAUGGGGAGUAAUGAUGAAGUAGGGAGGCUGGAAAGCAAGGCAGGUGUGAUGUCACAUAACUUUAUAUGCUGUGCUGAGGAGUUUGGAUUUUUAUCUGUAGCUGAUGAUUAGCUACAGAAGAGCUCUAAGAACUUAGAUUGGUUGGAUGAGGUAGCUCACGCCUGUAAUCCCAGCACUUUGGGAGGCCGAGGUAAGUGGAUCAUUUGAGGUCAGGAGUUUGAGACCAGCCUGGCCAGCAUGAUGAAACCACAUCUCUACUAAAAAUACAAAAAAUUAGCUGGGCGUGGUGGCAUGAACCUGUAAUCCCAGCUAGACUGAGGCAGGAGAAUUGCUUGAACCGGGGAGGUGGAGGUUGCAGUGAGCCAAAAUUGUGCCACUGCACUCCAGCCUGGGAGACAGAGCGAGACUCCAUCUCAAAAAAAAAAAAAAAAUGAACUUAGGUGAAUGACAUGGAUCAGAUUUGCAUUUUAGAAAGAUCAUUCUUGGGGCAGAAGUGGAGGAGGGAUUAAGGGGCAGGGAAAAUUUGCCUUAAUUCAGGCAAGUAGGGUUACCAAAUUUAUCUAAUUCUAAAGUGCACAUAAUUUCUGGUGUAUUAUAUAUAUACUGCAGGGGAGUAUAUGUUAUGUACCAAAGGAGCUGGGAGCAGAGGAAGGUAAAACUGCAAAGACAGUUAGGGGUCAGGUCAUGGCUUUGUGUGGUCCCAAGAGCUCACUCAAUGCUCCUGUGGAGGGCAUUGUGUAGUCUACUAAGGAAUUAUUACUUUCACAGGCAGCAUGAAGACACCAGAAGAUUUGGACUUGGGUGACACAGUGACUCGAGAAGUACAUGAGGUUGAAGGACCUAGAUUAAGUUUGUAGCUUUUGAGUAAUAGGAAGGAAGGAAAAGUUAGUACACAUAUUUCUUACCCCACUGACCUAGGCCUUCUGAUACCAGCAGCUGUGAACUUUGGGUUUCCCUUCUCCCUUAAGCUUCCUUCAGUCCUAGCUGUAUGCUGUGUUAAAUUUGGAAAGUAUUUACUGCUGGCUAUUAAAGAUAAGUCGAAUUAUGUUAGUAUUUCUCUUACAAAGAAGAGUCACUUUUUUUGUUUUUUUUUUUUGAGACAGGGUCUCGUUCUGUCACCCGGGCUAGAGGGCAGUGGCGAGAUCAUGGCUCACUGCAGUCUGAAACCUCCUGGGCUCAAGUGAUCCUCCUGCCUCAGCCUCUUGAGUAGCUGGGACUACAGGUGUGUGCCAUCACACCUGGCUAAUUUUUAAGUUUUUUGUAGAGAUGGAGUCUUGCUGUGUUACCCAUGUGGGUCUCCCAACUCCUGGCCUCAAGUGACCCUUCUGCCUUGGCCUCCCAAAGUGUUGAGAUUACAGGCAUGAGCCACCAUGCCUGGCCAAGAGUCACUUUCAUUUAUUUUUAAGAUUUUUAGGGCUGGGCGCGGUGGCUCACGCCUGUAAUCCCAGCACUUUGGGAGGCCGAGGCGGGUGGAUCAUGGGGUCAAGAGAUCGAGACCAUCCUGGUCAACAUGGUGAAACCCCAUCUCUACUAAAAAUACAAAAAAUUAGCUGGGCAUGGUGGCGCGUGCCUGCAAUCCCAGCUACUCAGGAGGGUGAGGCAGGAGAAUUGGCUGAACCCAGGAGGCGGAGGUUGCGGUGAGCCGAGAUCGCGCCAUUGCACUCCAGCCUAGGUAACAAGAGCGAAACAACGUCUCAAAAAAAAAAAAAAAGAUUUUUAAUUUUUCCACAUGGCCACUGUGUCAAAAGGAGUCACUUUUACACUUAUCCACUAUUGGCUAAGUUUGUUUCAGAUAGCUUUCCCAGUUCCUCUGGAUUCUUCUGCAGCAUCAUCCCCACUGUUUGUUCAAGAGACAAUUAAGAAUUACUCAGUGUCUGAGUAUUUCCCAAGCAUUUGCUUUGUGUCUAGUACUAGGUGUGAAGUGUGAGGGGGAUGCUGAACAAGUAAGCCAUUUAGCCUUGUUUCCAAAGCAGUUAAUAUUACUUGACGUCUGUCCGUCAUUUAUUGAACACCUACAGUAUACCAGAUUACGAGCUAGUUCUCUGAAAUACAAAGAUGAAUGUAUAAGACUCAAAUGAUCCGUGAGCAAUUUCAGAUCCACUAGGAUGGCUAAAUGGGAGAAAUUAUUUGCAAAUCAUAUGUUAAUAAGGGAUUUGUUUACAGAACAUAUAAAGAGCUUUUACAGCUGAUCAAUAAGAAAUAAAUAACCUAGUAAAAAAUGGGGCAAAAUUUCGGGCCCAGUGGCUUGUGCCUGUAAUCCUACUUUGGGAGGCCGAGGAGGGUGGAUUGCUUGAACCCAGGAGUUCAAGACCAGCUUGGGCAACAUAGGGAGACCCCAUUUUCCCAGAAAAUAAAAAAAUAGCCAGACGUGGUAGCUCGUUUCUGUAGUCCCUGCUACUUGGGAGGCUGAGAUGGGAGUAUUGCUUGAGCCCAGGAGGUCGAGGCUGGAGUGAGCUAUGUUUUUGCCACUGCACUCCAGCGUGGGUAAUAGAGUGACAGAGUAAGACUCUGUCUUUAAAAAAAAAAAAAAGAGGUUUUCACUCUGGAUUCUCCAUGUUGGACCCAAACUGAGGAGCCCGGAGCUGCCGCCGGGGAAUCGGGGCCAGGGGCACUUGGGGGAGCCACUGCCCAGGCCGCCCGCCCUCUGUACAGGCCGCCUCCCUUCCUGGCCCGGGAAGGAAAUGAGAGGGGGGAUGUGAACAGCUGUGGAAGUUGGAGUAUCGGGCCCCCGCCCAGGCCCCCCACCUCAGCCCAGCCCAGCCUGCGCGCCCACCCGUCCUCCUGCCCAGCCUGCCCGGGCCUGCAGGAUUGUUAGAUGGAACACGGCUCCAUCAUCACCCAGGUGCAGAGGGAAGACGCCCUGGUGCUAAGUCCUCUCCUAAGAAGUCUCGUGGACGUGACAUCUUCAAGUCCCUUUUCUGCUAUUUUUGCUCCCAGCAUGUUGGCCAGUCAAGUUGCUCCACUGAGCUUGCUGCAUAUAUUGAGGAAGCGAACACCAUUGCUAAGUCGGAUCUGCUCCAGUGUCUCCACUACCACUUCUGCCAGAUCCCGGGGACCUGCCUGCUCCCAGAGGUGACAGAGGAAGAUCAAGGAAGGAUCUGUGUGGUCACUGACCUGGACGAAACCCUCGUGCACAGCCUCCUUUAAGUCAAUCAACAAUGCUGACUUCAUAAUGCCUAUAGAGAUUGAGGGGACCACUCACCAGCUGUAUGUGCUCAAGAGGCCUUAUAUGGAUGAGUUCCUGAGACGCAUGGGGGAACUCUUUGAAUGUGUUCUCUUCACUGCCAGUCUGGCCAAGUAUGCCGACCCUGUGACAGACCUGCUGGACCGAUGUGGGGUGUUCCAGGCCCGCCUAUUCCGUGAGUCCUGCGUGUUUCAUCAGGGCUGCUACGUCAAGGACCUCAGCCGCCUGGGGAGGAACCUAAGAAAGACUGUCAUCCUGGGCAACUUGCCUGCUUCUUAAAUCUUCCACCCUGAGAAUGCAGUGCCUGUGUAGUCCUGGUUUGAUGACAUGGCAGACACCGAGUUGCUGAACCUAAUCCCAAUCUUUGAGGAGCUGAGCGGAGCAGAGGACGUCUACACCAGCCUUGGGCAGCUACGGGCCCCUUUGCCUUCCCUGCUUCCAGGCCAUCCCAGUAGGGGACUUUCCCACACUGUGCCUUUAUGAUUAGUGUGACAGAGUGGAAGCUGGAGCACCUCACCACACGGCCCAGAAACAGAGAGAAGUGAUUGGAAAGAGCUUCAGGACAACCUAGAUGCCGAGUGGGCAAAUGCCAGACAACAAUACCCAGAGCUACCUGCCGCCAAGCUGUCAACGUGUGUGUGUGUGUGUGUGUGUGUGUGUGUGUGUGUGUGAGAGAGAGAGAGAGAAAGAAAGAAUGAGAAUGUGUGUGUGUGUUGCCAUGAACUGUGGCCCCAGCAUAUAGUGUUUCACUGGGGGAGAAGCUGAAAGACCAAGACUUCCCAAGUGAGCUUGCCUCCUCUCCUGUCACCCUAGGAGCCACUGAGCUCUAUAAGGAUGAAGACUAUUGAAGGCUCCAUUGUCAAAUCAUGGCCUUUCCUCAGUGUUGUAAGGCCUAUGCCAAGGAUAAAGGAAGGUAUGCCUUUGGGUGCUCCAGGCACACACCUUUCUGAAAUCCUCCAGCCAGCUGCUGCAGACAAAAGAUGACAUUUCUGGGAAGAUGAGGACUUGAUUCCAGACCAGCACCUCAGUGGCCAUCAGGGCUUGUGGCCCAGAGGCUAUGCUCGCAUCCAGCUGAGUGCCUGGGGUGGGCUCUUUCUGUGUUUCCCCAAGGCUGGGUGGCUGAGCCUGCCUUCCUCACCACCUAGCCAUAGUCUCAAACCUGUGGGGAAGGAGGUUUUCUCCCUGCCUGGGAAGAGGACAGAUAACUGAUUUCCGUUCUUUUGACUCUGUUUUAAAAUUCUCUUCUAAACACAGAAAAAAAAAAAAAAAAAAAGGAAAAAUCCACACAGAAACUUA